AACAUGUCUUUUUGUGAUAUUUUUAAAGUCUAACCUGCCCACUGAAUAAAUUUAAAUGGCCGCAGUAUCCUAACUGUGCAAAGGUAGCAUAAUCAUUAGUCUUUUAAUUGAAGGCUGGUAUGAAUGGUUGGACGAGGUAUUAACUGUUUCAAAUGAAUUUAUUAUAGAACUUUAUUUUUUAGUCAAAAAGCUAAAAUAAAUUUAAAAGACGAGAAGACCCUAUAAAUCUUUACUUUUUAAUUAUUUUAAUUAUAAAGAUAAAUUUUAUUAUAAUAAGUAAAAAAGUUUUAUUGGGGUGAUAUUAAAAUUUAAUAAACUUUUAAUUUUUUAAGACAUAAAUUAAUGAAUAAUUGAUCCAUUAUUAGUGAUUAAAAAUUUAAGUUACUUUAGGGAUAACAGCGUAAUUUUUUUGGAGAGUUCUUAUCGAUAAAAAAGAUUGCGACCUCGAUGUUGGAUUAAGAAAAAAUUUAGGUGCAGUCGCUUAAAUGUUAAGUCUGUUCGACUUUUAAUUUCUUACA
rnacentral:rRNA from 1 species